rfam:Dipodomys ordii contig_72548, whole genome shotgun sequence.
GGUGGCUCAGUGGUAGAGUGCUUGUCUUGCAUGCAUGGUGCCCUGGGUUCAAUUCCUCAGCACCA